GGAGCGCCACAGAAGUGAAAUACAGGCU
rnacentral:piRNA from 1 species